AUGAACGCUAGCUACAGGCUUAACACAUGCAAGUCGAGGGGCAGCAUGGUCUUAGCUUGCUAAGGCCGAUGGCGACCGGCGCACGGGUGAGUAACACGUAUCCAACCUGCCGUCUACUCUUGGACAGCCUUCUGAAAGGAAGAUUAAUACAAGAUGGCAUCAUGAGUCCGCAUGUUCACAUGAUUAAAGGUAUUCCGGUAGACGAUGGGGAUGCGUUCCAUUAGAUAGUAGGCGGGGUAACGGCCCACCUAGUCUUCGAUGGAUAGGGGUUCUGAGAGGAAGGUCCCCCACAUUGGAACUGAGACACGGUCCAAACUCCUACGGGAGGCAGCAGUGAGGAAUAUUGGUCAAUGGGCGAGAGCCUGAACCAGCCAAGUAGCGUGAAGGAUGACUGCCCUAUGGGUUGUAAACUUCUUUUAUAAAGGAAUAAAGUCGGGUAUGGAUACCCGUUUGCAUGUACUUUAUGAAUAAGGAUCGGCUAACUCCGUGCCAGCAGCCGCGGUAAUACGGAGGAUCCGAGCGUUAUCCGGAUUUAUUGGGUUUAAAGGGAGCGUAGAUGGAUGUUUAAGUCAGUUGUGAAAGUUUGCGGCUCAACCGUAAAAUUGCAGUUGAUACUGGAUAUCUUGAGUGCAGUUGAGGCAGGCGGAAUUCGUGGUGUAGCGGUGAAAUGCUUAGAUAUCACGAAGAACUCCGAUUGCGAAGGCAGCCUGCUAAGCUGCAACUGACAUUGAGGCUCGAAAGUGUGGGUAUCAAACAGGAUUAGAUACCCUGGUAGUCCACACGGUAAACGAUGAAUACUCGCUGUUUGCGAUAUACUGCAAGCGGCCAAGCGAAAGCGUUAAGUAUUCCACCUGGGGAGUACGCCGGCAACGGUGAAACUCAAAGGAAUUGACGGGGGCCCGCACAAGCGGAGGAACAUGUGGUUUAAUUCGAAGCAACGCGAAGAACCUUACCAAGUCUUGACAUCCCUCUGACCGGCUCUUAACCGAGUCUUUCCUUCGGGACAGGGGAGACAGGUGGUGCAUGGUUGUCGUCAGCUCGUGCCGUGAGGUGUCGGCUUAAGUGCCAUAACGAGCGCAACCCUUGUUGUCAGUUACUAACAGGUUCCGCUGAGGACUCUGACAAGACUGCCAUCGUAAGAUGUGAGGAAGGUGGGGAUGACGUCAAAUCAGCACGGCCCUUACGUCCGGGGCUACACACGUGUUACAAUGGGGGGUACAGAGGGCCGCUACCACGCGAGUGGAUGCCAAUCCCCAAAACCUCUCUCAGUUCGGACUGGAGUCUGCAACCCGACUCCACGAAGCUGGAUUCGCUAGUAAUCGCGCAUCAGCCACGGUGCGGUGAAUACGUUCCCGGGCCUUGUACACACCGCCCGUCAAGCCAUGGGAGCCGGGGGUACCUGAAGUGCGUAACCGCGAGGAGCGCCCUAGGGUAAAACUGGUGACUGGGGCU
rnacentral:rRNA from 1 species